AGUGAACGCUGGCGGUAGGCCUAACACAUGCAAGUCGAACGGCAGCACAGUAAGAGCUUGCUCUUACGGGUGGCGAGUGGCGGACGGGUGAGGAAUACAUCGGAAUCUACUUUUUCGUGGGGGAUAACGUAGGGAAACUUACGCUAAUACCGCAUACGACCUACGGGUGAAAGCAGGGGAUCUUCGGACCUUGCGCGAUUGAAUGAGCCGAUGUCGGAUUAGCUAGUUGGCGGGGUAAAGGCCCACCAAGGCGACGAUCCGUAGCUGGUCUGAGAGGAUGAUCAGCCACACUGGAACUGAGACACGGUCCAGACUCCUACGGGAGGCAGCAGUGGGGAAUAUUGGACAAUGGGCGCAAGCCUGACGCAGCCAUACCGCGUGGGUGAAGAAGGCCUUCGGGUUGUAAAGCCCUUUUGUUGGGAAAGAAAAGCAGCAUGUGAAUCCCUGGCUGUUUUGACGGUACCCAAAGAAUAAGCAACGGCUAACUUCGUG
rnacentral:rRNA from 1 species